rnacentral:rRNA from 1 species
CACGUAGGCGGGUCACCAAGUCAGCCGUGAAAGCCCCCGGCCCAACCGGGGAACUGCGGCCGAAACUGGUGGUCUUGAGUGCGAGAGGGGAGAGCGGAACUUCUGGUGGAGCGGUGAAAUGCGUAGAUAUCAGAAGGAACAUCGGUGGUGAAAACGGCUCUCUGGCUCGUUACUGACGCUGAGGUGCGAAAGCUAGGGUAGCGAACG